GAAAAAUUAGUUAAUAAUAUAAUAUUAAUUUGUCAAAUUAAAGUAACUUAGGUAUUUUUCA
rnacentral:tRNA from 1 species